rnacentral:tRNA from 1 species
CCUGAUAGCUCAGUUGGUAAAGAAUCUGCCUUCAGUGCAGAAGACCAGGGUUCAAUCCCUGGGUCAGGA